CCUUAAAGAAAAAAAGGGCCAAAUUGGUCCCUUAAAGACCUUGCCGUUAAACAUUUUGGUCCUUUCCGUCCAGAAACUGUUAAUUUUUACAGGUGGCGAACUGGAUGCUUACGUGGCUGCUCACAUGGGUGCUUACAUGGCUGCUUACUAGUGUUUCAAAAUCUGGAUUUGUGUUGAUGAAGUUUAUGAAGAAGACGGAAGGAAGGAGAUGAAGAAAGGAAAAUAAAACAAGGUGUUGGUAGUACAUUAUUAGAUAUAAUAGAUAUUCAAGAUCCAAUGGUUUUUCUUUUGAUAAGGAAAUCCAAUGGUUAAUAUUAAAAAAUUAUUGAAGUCUAUGGUGGAGCACCUGAAGUGUUGGUCCACCUUAUACUUUUGGGGUUAAAAGUUAACGGAAGAGACUAAAAUGUUUAACGGCAAGGUCUUUAAGGGACCAAUUUGACCCUUUUUUUCUUUAAGGGACCAAUUUGAAACCAUAAAUUUCUUUAAGGGACCAAUUAAGUAAUUAAGCCUAAA